GUUUGAUCAUGGCUCAGGAUGAACGCUAGCGGCAGGCUUAAUACAUGCAAGUCGAGGGGCAGCAGGUCUGUAGCAAUACAGAUGCUGGCGACCGGCAAACGGGUGCGGAACACGUACAGAACCUUCCUUUAAGCGGGGAAUAGCCCAGAGAAAUUUGGAUUAAUACCCCAUAGUAUAGUGGUUAGGCAUCUAACUAUUAUUAAAGAUUUAUCACUUAAAGAUGGCUGUGCGGCUGAUUAGGUAGUUGGCGGGGUAACGGCCCACCAAGCCUACGAUCAGUAACUGGUGUGAGAGCACGACCAGUCACACGGGCACUGAGACACGGGCCCGACUCCUACGGGAGGCAGCAGUAAGGAAUAUUGGUCAAUGGACGAAAGUCUGAACCAGCCAUGCCGCGUGGAGGAUGAAGGUCCUCUGGAUUGUAAACUUCUUUUAUAUGGGACGAAAAAAGGCUUUUCUAAGUCGUCUGACGGUACCAUAUGAAUAAGCACCGGCUAACUCCGUGCCAGCAGCCGCGGUAAUACGGAGGGUGCAAGCGUUAUCCGGAUUCACUGGGUUUAAAGGGUGCGUAGGUGGGUUGGUAAGUCAGUGGUGAAAUCCCCGAGCUUAACUUGGGAACUGCCAUUGAUACUAUCAGUCUUGAAUACCGUGGAGGUUAGCGGAAUAUGUCAUGUAGCGGUGAAAUGCUUAGAUAUGACAUAGAACACCAAUCGCGAAGGCAGCUGGCUACACGAAUAUUGACACUGAGGCACGAAAGCGUGGGGAUCAAACAGGAUUAGAUACCCUGGUAGUCCACGCCCUAAACUAUGGAUACUCGACAUCAGCGAUACACUGUUGGUGUCUGAGCGAAAGCAUUAAGUAUCCCACCUGGGAAGUUCGA
rnacentral:rRNA from 1 species